CCCCCCCCCUUCGCACCUGAAAAAGGCACUCAUCCUCAACCCGAGAUUGUUGAAGGAUUUCGAAGGUGACGAAGUGUGUUCAGAUAGGUGAACUUGAGAGUGUACAUGCCCUGUACACUAAAUACGUGCCCAGGAGGAACAAGUUUGGCCUACAGGGGAUGCCGCAAGACUCCAGGUGGCUGCCUUAGACCACAAUUAUUCGGUGGACAGACAUCAGGCUACAACAAAUGAGGGAGUGCUCCGUUUCAAGCAAGAGUUCUCCAAGGCUGCCAGGGCAUUUGUGGUGAAAACCAUCAAGGGGGAGAAGACAUGGUGUUUCAGGUCUGAGCUUCUAGACUGCAUCGUUGACCGCUGUGCCAAUGGACCAUCCCAGCAGACUCUCUUGAGUGCCCAAAAAGAGAGAGUGGCGGUCACCUUAGGGAAGUGGACUGGUGUUCCGAAAAUGGAGAAGGAGCAGGACAUUCAACAGCGAAUUCAAAGAUACACCCAUCCAUAGAGGGAGUCGGAGUGGAAUUACUUUUCCACAGAUUUUUUUGGACCUGUUAAACAGACGUGUUUCCUUGUCUCGGACCUGCUGUUUCGACUUUCUCUCCCGGACCUGCUGUCUCGACCUCCGAAUGCUCGGCUAUGAAAAGCCAGACGACAUUUGCUCCUGAGGUGUUGAACUGUCGCACCCUCUAUAACCAUUGUGGUUGUUAUUAGUUUGAUGUAAAAAGGGCUUUGUAAAAUACAUUUGAUUUAUUGAUUGCUUGCUGUGUUGCAUGCUGUGUAUUAACUGUCUGAGUGAUGGGACAUUUUUAUAGUAUCUAACAUAUUUUGGUGUGUAUUUAAUCUGCAACUUAACUUCUUAAAGCAGCAGAAAAAAAUAACAAAGUGUUCUCCAUGCCCGAUUCGGUGAAAAACUCAGGGAUGGGGCUGGAGAAAUUUAACCAGUCUCAAAUUCAUAGACAGAGCAAUCUGUGGAAGGACUGGCUAUCCAUGAUAUCAAAGUUAUAGUUUUAACCAUGUUUUGGGGCUAUACUGUGUUUGUUUAAAUGUGUUUUUUUAAUUUUUUACAAACGUUGGAAUAAAACAAGCUUAUAUUUUGGGUUCUGAUGGGGUACGACAGUUGAACUAAGCUCAUGAGACAUUUAUAAGUCAUAUUCUUUAAGAGUCAAUGGGAACAUUUCAUUAAUUUAUAAGUGCAAAAAUGUAUGUAGAAAUUGCUGUUUGCUCCUUUUAGGUAAGCUACUGUUGUAGUGUCUAUUGAUCUUGUGCAUACAGGCAAAGACUUGCAACCACAGCCUUUCCUGUGAAUCCUCUUCUUGUUAUAUUGGAACUUGUAAAAACAACGUAAUAACCCUGUAAUUUACUAUGCAUUGUAAUCCUCUUUCUGUGAUCUGUUUCCACCACCAUGUACCCAGUCCGCUUUGGAUAAAAGCAUCUGCUAA